rnacentral:snoRNA from 1 species
CCCCUCUCAGGAUCAUACCUGGAGAGUUUCCAGUACUCUACCAGUCUCAAUUAUGGGAGGGAGAGUCAAGCAGAGGCAUUCCAUUCCAUUCCUAGCUUGGGCAAUGGCUAGCAAGUGGAAGGCAAUCUGCUAAAAGU